AACGAUAUAGUUUAAGUUAAGAUAUAUGCUCUGCAAGCAUGUGGUAGAAUUUGUGUUCUUGUCGUUG
rnacentral:tRNA from 1 species